GGUGGUUUGUCGCGUCGUCUGUGAAAUCCCGGGGCUUAACCUCGGGCGUGCAGGCGAUACGGGCAUAACUUGAGUGCUGUAGGGGAGACUGGAAUUCCUGGUGUAGCGGUGAAAUGCGCAGAUAUCAGGAGGAACACCAAUGGCGAAGGCAGGUCUCUGGGCAGUAACUGACGCUGAGGAGCGAAAGCAUGGGUAGCGAACAGGAUUAGAUACCCUGGUAGUCCAUGCCGUAAACGGUGGGCGCUAUGUGUAGGGGACUUCCACGUCUUCUGUGCCGCAGCUAACGCAUUAAGCGCCCCGCCUGGGGAGUACGGCCGCAAGGCUAAAACUCAAAGGAAUUGACGGGGGCCCGCACAAGCGGCGGAGCAUGUGGAUUAAUUCGAUGCAACACGAAGAACCGUACCUGGGCUUGACAUACACCAGAUCGCUGCAGAGAUGUAGCUUCCCUUGUGGCUGGUGUACAGGUGGUGCAUGGUUGUCGUCAGCUCGUGUCGUGAGAUGUUGGGUUAAGUCCCGCAACGAGCGCAACCCUUGUCUUAUGUUGCCAUCACGUGAUGGUGGGCACUCAUGAGAGACUGCCGGGGUUAACUCGGAGGAAGGUGGGGAUGACGUCAAAUCAUCAUGCCCCUUAUGUCCAGGGCUUCACACAUGCUACAAUGGUCGGUACAGCGAGUUGCCACACCGUGAGGUGGAGCUAAUCUCUCAAAGCCGGCCUCAGUUCGGAUUGGGGUCUGCAACUCGACCCCAUGAAGUCGGAGUCGCUAGUAAUCGCAGA
rnacentral:rRNA from 1 species